UACGUAGGCGGAAAAUUAAGUCAGUAGUGAAAUCCUGCAGCUUAACUGUAGAACUGUUAUUGAUACUGGUUUUCUUGAAUAUAGUUGAGGUAGGCGGAAUGUGUAAUGUAGCGGUGAAAUGCUUAGAUAUUACACAGAACACCGAUUGCGAAGGCAGCUUACUCAGCUAUGAUUGACGCUGAGGUACGAAAGCGUGGGGAGCGAACAGGAUUAGAUACCCUGGUAGUCC
rnacentral:rRNA from 1 species